rnacentral:rRNA from 1 species
GAUGAACGCUGGCGGCGUGCCUAAUACAUGCAAGUCGAGCGAAUGGAUUAAGAGCUUGCUCUUAUGAAGUUAGCGGCGGACGGGUGAGUAACACGUGGGUAACCUGCCCAUAAGACUGGGAUAACUCCGGGAAACCGGGGCUAAUACCGGAUAAUAUUUUGAACUGCAUGGUUCAAAAUUGAAAGGCGGCUUCGGCUGUCACUUCUGAAUGGACCCGCGUCGCAUUAGCUAGUUGGUGAGGUAACGGCUCACCAAGGCAACGAUGCGUAGCCGACCUGAGAGGGUGAUCGGCCACGCUGGGACUGAGACACGGCCCAGGCUCCUACGGGAGGCAGCAGUAGGGAAUCUUCCGCAAUGGACGAAAGUCUGACGGAGCAACGCCGCGUGAGUGAUGAAGGCUUUCGGGUCGUAAAACUCUGUUGUUAGGGAAGAACAAGUGCUAGUUGAAUAAGCUGGCACCUUGACGGUACCUAACCAGAAAGCCACGGCUAACUACGUGCCAGCCGCCGCAGUAA